rnacentral:rRNA from 1 species
CUUAGGGAGGAGCUUGCGUCACAUUAGUUAGUUGGUAGGGUAAARGCCUACCAAGACUAUGAUGUGUAGCCGGGCUGAGAGGCUGAACGGCCACAUUGGGACUGAGACACGGCCCAAACUCCUACGGGAGGCAGCAGUAGGGAAUUUUCGGCAAUGGAGGAAACUCUGACCGAGCAACGCCGCGUGAACGAUGAAGUAUUUCGGUACGUAAAGUUCUUUUAUUAGGGAAGAAUAAAUGAUGGAAAAAUCAUUCUGACGGUACCUAAUGAAUAAGCCCCGGCUAACUAUGUGCCAGCAGCCGCGGUAAUACAUAGGGGGCAAGCGUUAUCCGGAAUUAUUGGGCGUAAAGGGUGCGUAGGCGGUUAAAUAAGUUUAUGGUCUAAGUGCAGUGCUCAACAUUGUGAUGCUAUAAAAACUGUUUAGCUAGAGUAAGAUAGAGGCAAGUGGAAUUCCAUGUGUAGUGGUAAAAUGCGUAAAUAUAUGGAGGAACACCAGUAGCGAAGGCGGCUUGCUGGGUCUUUACUGACGCUGAGGCACGAAAGCGUGGGGAGCAAACAGGAUUAGAUACCCUGGUAGUCCACGCCGUAAACGAUGAGUACUAAACGUUGGGUAAAACCAGUGUUGAAGUUAACACAUUAAGUACUCCGCCUGAGUAGUACGUACGCAAGUAUGAAACUUAAAGGAAUUGACGGGACUCCGCACAAGCGGUGGAUCAUGUUGUUUAAUUCGAAGGUANNNAAAAACCUCACCAGGUCUUGACAUGCUUCUGCAAAGCUGUAGAAACACAGUGGAGGUUAUCAGUUGCACAGGUGGUGCAUGGUUGUCGUCAGCUCGUGUCGUGAGAUGUUGGGUUAAGUCCCGCAACGAGCGCAACCNUUAUUGUUAGUUACCAGCACNUAAUGGUGGGGACUUUAGCA